UUCAUAAAGUUUUUUUUUUAAACUAAACACUAGCUAUGACUUGUACAUAAAGCAACUUCCUACACAAGAAUGUGAUAAAACAUAUAUAACUGCUACUUAAAUCAUAAAUAGAAAUAAGUAAAUUCUAAUAAAAAUGAUAAAAAUGCAUAGACUUCUGACAUGUUGCCUGAAGAAGAAAAGCUAAAUAUAGAUUUUAUGGUUUGGUUCAAUCUGAACUCAUUCAAGGUCUAUCAAGCUACUGGAGUAGGGCCUGCGAAGGAUAAAACAAAGCAAAAUGUUCACCAUGAUGAUAAUAUCUUGAAAAUAUAUUACUUCAAGGAUAUAAAACAUAGGUUUUAUUAAAAAAAAACUGGAAUAAAAUAAUUAAAAUGUUUUUCUGUGAUCUACUUAUAUCUUUCAAAAGAUACAUACUGAAGUAAACUUCCAUUUGCUAAUGAUGUGUAUUGUUUUACAUGUAGUUAACUUAAGAUUUCUUUAGGAGCUAAUAAUUAGAACCCUUCACGAUUCCUGUUGACACUUUUAAAGGGAUGGCAGAAGAAAGAAUAGUGGUAUGAAUGGUAUUUGAAGAGUUGAAGAUAACUAUGGGAUUCAUUUCCUCCAGUAUAUCUAAUAGCAAUAUAAUAAUGAGAACAUAACAAGUAUACAAAAUUAUAUUAAUAACAUGUAUAAAUUUAUGAAGUCAAACAUUCUACCUUGUAUCAAAAUCCUUUACUAUAAAAUGAGGUCUAUAUAUGUAGCCCAGAACAAUAUCUCAAAUCCAUUUUUCUCCAUAUUGAAGGAGGCAUCCUGACAGAGGCUGAUAUCUCUUCAGAAAUAUGUUCAGCUUCAUAAUUUGUUAAUUUGAAUCUAAUAGUUGUGAUGAAACCUGGACUACAUGGAAAUAUAUGGAUAAACUGAGGCACAGAUAUUCGGUACCUUGCUGAAGGUCUUGGCUACAAGGUAAAAUAUGACAAAGAGUAACCUGGCUUUGAAGGAACAAAGAAAUGAAAACCUCAGGAAGCAGGCACAACUGUUGUGGUCUAGAGAUAAGUACUUGUGCUAAGCUGAAACAAUCAGAAUUUCACUCUAGAAAUCUGAAAUUUGACCAAGGGAUACAAAAAGAAAGAAGUCAUCUAGAGCUGAGGCAUCUGAUGACAGCACUGCAGGACAGGCUCAGAUUAGGACUCUCAACCACAGAAGAACUCACAAGCUAUGGAUAGACAAGUACUAAACGGCCACAACAGAAGGAAAAAUAUUAUAAACUACAAGAGAUCUGGAGAAGCAUAACGCAUCAAAGAAGGGAAGACUACAGUCUUGGCUGUUGAAAGGAGGAUCAAAAAUGGCAUUUCAACAGAGUCUUUGAAGAAGAGGUGAAAUUCCCACAAUCAAAGAAUGGGCUAAGUCUUGACUAAAUAUAGAAAAAAGAUGGGGGAGGAGGUUCAGAGAUGCCAUCUGUAUGCCUGUGAUGUGCUAGAGGCUGUGCUGGUGUAUGUUAUGUAUACAUCGUAUGUCAGCUGAUGUAAAUCUCACAAGUCUGGAAAACUCACAUUAUGUUUCCCAUUUGGAAGGUGAAGAACUGGGUCAAAAAAUAUCACACACAUGGUAGUGAAGUCAGAGAUUGAACAGACUCUGCCUGCUUCUGGAGCUCAUAAAGUUUUUAUUAUACAGCACAUUUGCAACACUAGUGAAAG